rnacentral:precursor_RNA from 14 species
CCUGGUUCCAGACACAUCCUUGGCAAUAUCUGGGGCACAUCUCUAGAAGCAGGAAUAGUCAGGAUGCUCUGCUUCUAGUGACUUGCCUUGGAGAUUGCUGGAGGUACACCUCUGCAAGUGGGGG